GUGUUCCAGGCGACCACUCCUCCCAAUGGGCGUCUGGCAGAACAGCGGCACUCCUCCUCCCAGCCGUUGUUCGAUCUUUUCGAAAAGCCUGCCGCACCUCCUCCCGCGGCAGGCUUUUUCG
rnacentral:sRNA from 1 species